UGGGGAAUAUUGCACAAUGGGCGCAAGCCUGAUGCAGCCAUGCCGCGUGUAUGAAGAAGGCCUUCGGGUUGUAAAGUACUUUCAGCGGGGAGGAAGGGAGUAAAGUUAAUACCUUUGCUCAUUGACGUUACCCGCAGAAGAAGCACCGGCUAACUCCGUGCCAGCAGCCGCGGUAAUACGGAGGGUGCAAGCGUUAAUCGGAAUCACUGGGCUUAAAGCGCACGCAGGCGGUUUGUUAAGUCAGAUGUGAAAUCCCCGGGCUCAACCUGGGAACUGCAUCUGAUACUGGCAAGCUUGAGUCUCGUAGAGGGGGGUAGAAUUCCAGGUGUAGCGGUGAAAUGCGUAGAGAUCUGGAGGAAUACCGGUGGCGAAGGCGGCCCCCUGGACGAAGACUGACGCUCAGGUGCGAAAGCGUGGGGAGCAAACGGG
rnacentral:rRNA from 1 species